CUUGCAAAAUCAACAAAUAAAGAGGUCCGCCGGCCCUGUGACUAUAUGUUUAACGGCCGCGGUAUUUUGACCGUGCGAAGGUAGCGCAAUCACUUGUCUUUUAAAUGGAGACCUGUAUGAAUGGCACGACGAGGGCUUAACUGUCUCCUUUCCUAAGUCAAUGAAAUUGAUCUCUCCGUGCAGAAGCGGGGAUAGACCCAUAAGACGAGAAGACCCUAUGGAGCUUCAGACACUAAAACAGCCCAUGUUAAGAACCCUCACAAAAGAGACCAAACUAGAUGGUCCCUGUCCUAAUGUCUUUGGUUGGGGCGACCACGGGGUAACAAAAAACCCCCGCGCGGAACAGAAACACUGUUUCCAGAACCAAGAGCACCCGCUCUAAGUAACAAGACCCACUUGACCUUUGAGAUCCGGCACAAGCCGAUCAACGGACCGAGUUACCCUAGGGAUAACAGCGCAAUCUUCUUCGAGAGUUCAUAUCGACGAGAAGGUUUACGACCUCGAUGUUGGAUCAGGACAUCCUAAUGGUGCAGCCGCUAUUAAGGGUUCGUUUGUUCAACGAUUAAAGUCCU
rnacentral:rRNA from 1 species